CAUCUAGCGGCCCAUGAUUGAUUGUAUUGAAUCAAUAUUGACUUUUGGAGUGGUGUGAAUUCAGUUCUGUUUAGUUGACUGUUUUAUUAUUUUCAUCAUGCUUGAAAUUAUCAAAAGAUCAACUCAAAAGAUCAAAGAUUGGUACCUGGUCUAUGAACUAACAACGAAUCUUUAUAUGCUAGAGCCUUGGGAAAAAUUGUUAUUCAAUUCCAUGUUGUUGGUCUCAAUAUCACUGUUCAUUUGGAUUAUGAUGCCUAAAUAAUCAAAAAGAGAUCACUUGAUGCAAGAUGCAAUACAUUCCAUUUCCGUACCAUUGCCGGUUGUGAAGGUGAUUGAAGAUGAAGAUCUAUCGAAGAUGGUUUCAAAAUGUUAUCAAAAGUUUAGUAAUAUUUAUGCAUGCAUUAAUAUCGGAAUGAAUUUUACCUUUUAUUGUUAUUUUAUAAAAUAAAAAUUAUUGAAAUUCAAUUAUUUAUAAUAAAUUAAAAAAUAAUUAAAUUCA